AGAAUAUCAAACAUGCAAAGCGAAAAUCUUGCAUCCUCCAGUGACCAGGUCGCUCACUUCAUUAUGCAAGGACCAUAUGUUGGCAUGUAAAUCAAGUGGAGUGAUCUUGAUCACCCUCUUCAUUCUAUCUUGAAGUCUCCUCUAAUGAUUUUCCUUUUUAUUCUGGAGAUUGUGAACAAUAACUCCUAUUAUUAAUAAAACAAAGCACCUAUUAGUUGUCUAUUAGGAAGAGUCGAACUGUGGAAGUCCAAAUAAGUGAAGAAAUUUUGACAAACUUUAAGCAAUAUAAAAGCACCAAAAUAUUAAUAUAGCUUUCUUAAACAUAAAUCUCAAUGUGGGGGAGGCAAGACAUUUCAGUAUUAUAAACAUAACCAUACAUUUUGACAAACUCUUAUAAGUUUGUAUUUUAUCAAUUUUUAUAUUGAUACAAUAGAUGUGCAUCAAAAUUGAAUUACAAAUAGAAUAGUCAAAUAUUGGUAUGCCUAAUCGUACUACAAUGUCCCCAUAACAGCAAACUAAAAUGUCAUCAUCGUGAGUCAUAACUUGAAAAAAAUGAUAACAAAGGAACAUGUAAGAUCCAAAAUUCCACAUUAAUUGUAUGAAAAGCAACCUACAAACUUACCAAAAUGCAAUCCAAUAAGAAUCCCUUCUUUAGCUAACUUGCCAUACAUAGGAUCCUUUUGGGAUUGUGAUUGGGAGGCCAAAAAGCUGCUUUUUUGGAACAAUAACAUUUUAAAUG
rnacentral:misc_RNA from 1 species